AAGGAGAAGGAGGAAAAGGAACAAGAAGCAUUAAUAAUUGCCACUGCGGAUACCCAACUAGUUUCGGAAAUUACUGCAAGUACUAUGGAUGCUGAGGAAAGCUUAGAUUUAUUGCUUCAGGAUGACUCAGUGAGGGAGCCCUCGUUCAACGAAGGCAAUUUUAUGAGUCACAAUUGUUGACUUCGGCCUCCACCCCUAUUUGUCCCGCUUCGGCUGUGAAGAGGCUGCUACAUCUUUCCAAUGAUAGCAGCGAAGAUAACAGAACCCCUCCGAAAAAGCUUCGCACCGAAAUGAUUCCGAAAUUGGCGGUGGUCGACGCAAACCAAGAUAGUGACGGGGGAUCUGACUCGUGGAAGAGUCACGACGAAAAUCGGCUCAUGAAUCAUCCAUCUGACGCCCACCAA